rnacentral:rRNA from 1 species
UGGGGAAUUUUGGACAAUGGGCGAAAGCCUGAUCCAGCAAUGCCGCGUGUGUGAAGAAGGCCUUCGGGUUGUAAAGCACUUUUGUCCGGAAAGAAAUCCUUGGCUCUAAUACAGUCGGGGGAUGACGGUACCGGAAGAAUAAGCACCGGCUAACUACGUGCCAGCAGCCGCGGUAAUACGUAGGGUGCAAGCGUUAAUCGGAAUUACUGGGCGUAAAGCGUGCGCAGGCGGUUUGCUAAGACCGAUGUGAAAUCCCCGGGCUCAACCUGGGAACUGCAUUGGUGACUGGCAGGCUAGAGUAUGGCAGAGGGGGGUAGAAUUCCACGUGUAGCAGUGAAAUGCGUAGAGAUGUGGAGGAAUACCGAUGGCGAAGGCAGCCCCCUGGGCCAAUACUGACGCUCAUGCACGAAAGCGUGGGGAGCAAACAGGAUCAGAUACCCUGGUAGUCCACGCCCUAAACGACGUCAACUAGUUGUUGGGGAUUCAUUUCCUUAGUAACGUAGCUAACGCGUGAAGUUGACCGCCUGGGGAGUACGGUCGCAAGAUUAAAACUCAAAGGAAUUGACGGGGUCAUAGCUGUUUCCU